rnacentral:lncRNA from 1 species
UUACUUGUUCAAGUAUCGUUGUAUAUGUUCUCUUCCUAGCAUAGUUGUAUAUGUUCUUCUCUAGUAUAGCUGUAUAUGUUAUCAUAGUAUUAUAAUGUAUAUGUUCUCAUAGUAAUGUAAUGUAUAUGUUUCUCAUAGGACUAAGUACUGACUCAUGAAUGAACUGACUCAUUGAUCUAGUAAUAGUAUAAGUGUAAUCCUGUGUUACCCCGAUGGUAACUUACUAAUGAUGUAACUGAUACGCAUGAAUAUGGAAGUACUUUUAUGUCUAUAUAUGCACAUAUGAUAUAUAAUUAAUAUUGAAACGACCCUCGGACGGCUACCCGACAUCCCACCAGACCACAUCCAAAUCGAGGAAAAGGAAAUAGGGCGGACGGCCUUCCUAAGCCUUUUAAACAUUUCUUAUAUAUCUGUACAUAUAUGGACAUGCAAAUUAUAAGAAGUAUAUUAAAGUUUAAAUAAAAGUAUUUGAUAAGUAAAAGAGUUUGUAAAACAUUUUGAAGUAAAACAGUUUGAUAAACAGUUUGGACAGUGAUAAAAUCAUUGGUUUUAUAGUUAUUAAUCACAUGUGAUUGAUGUAAUAACUAUAAGUAUUCAACUUGUAUUCCCCCCAUAAAAGCAUUUAAAACAUUUAAAAGUAUUUCAAAGGUUAAUUAAAGGGGUAUGAACUCACCUGUAGUGAGUGGUUCUGAUGACAAUGUUGGAUUAGUUGCUAGGUGUCAAGUGGUGACUUGAGUACACACGCGAAUCCUAUUUAGCAUAUAUUGGCACAUAUAUGGAUAUAAUUAGUGUUAUGAACAACUAAUUGAUGAUUUUGGGACCACCUUAGGGACUAGUAAACACUUAUAAUGAAGUGUUAUAAUCAUAUAUGAUUGUAUGAGGGUUUAUAAGGCUAUACAAGAGGGUGUAUGGCCAAAAUACACACUAUAUGUGUGUGUGCGGCCAGGUGUNAGUUCUAUGCUUGAAGAAGUGAAAGAAGUGUUCAAAAAUGUUUAAGUGUGGUAUAUAUAGGUUGAGUGUGCGGUUGGGAAGGGUGUGAGGCCGCAAACAUGAGUGUGUGGCCGGACACUCCAUGUGUUGGAGUGUUUGGCCCGGUUUUGAUUCCUACACUUCGAGUUAACCCUUUUUAACACUCCCACCUUGAUUAUAUCACAUUUAGAAUGAUUCAUUAGGCUCUAAAGGGUACUACCAUAUAGUAAAAUAAGUCUAAUAUUGGAAGAAUUGAAGAGUGCAUGCGAGAAGUUUUUCGGGUUGUCACAUCAUCCCCCCGUUAGAGGGAAUUUCGUCCCGAUAUUUGAGUUUAAGUUACUGGAUUAUUACAAAUAACUAAGUAAAAAGAUGAGGAUAUUUCAGUUUCAUCUGAUCCUCUCGCUCCCAUGUAAAUUCCGGUCCUCGCUUGGCGUUCCAGCGAACAUUUACAAUCGGGAUGCGACUUUGUUUCGUCUGUUUGACUUCACGGUCCAUGACCUCUACAGGUUCUUCCACGAAGUUGAGGCUCUCGUUGAUCUCGAUCUCGUCGAGUGGGAUUACAAGAGUCACGUCGGACAGACACUUUUUCAAGUUAGAAAUGUGGAAGGUAGAAUGUAAGUUACGAAGUUCGUUCGGUAGAUUGAGUUUGUAAGCCACUGGGCCAAUUCUGGCGAGAAUCUCGAAAGGCCCAAUGUACCUUGGAUUCAGCUUUCCACGCUUUCCGAAGCGUAUCAAGCCCUUCCAGGGUGAGACCUUCAAUAAAACACGGUCGCCCACCUGGAAUUCCAAUGGUUUUCUACGUUUAUCGGCAUAGCUUUUCUGUCGGUCUCUGGAGGCUUUCAAUCGUUCACAGAUCUGAACGAUCUUCUCCGUCGUUUCCCGAAUGAUUUCCGGGCCUGUCUAUAGGUCUCGUGUGCUUGCUAUAUAAAGUACAUAUACGAGUCACGAGUAAUAGGAAGUGGUAACGGUCGAUGGAUGUUCAUAUUUGAGUAUUUGCUGAUGGAAUGCCUCACAUCAAGGUGACAGGAUUCGAACCUAUGGCCCUCUGUACCCAAAACAGAUGCGCUGACCAGACUGCGCUACACCUCGUCUCACCACCCCGGAGCAUAUAGAUCCACCCGAUCGAUGAACACUCAAACCGAACUCACCCAUCCUUUUGGGCACAGGGACGCGAGAACCUAAGAAACAGCUUUUUUUUCGAAAUCUGCCUCCAGCAAGAUAGGGCGACGCAAAAAAGCCGUAUAGUGCAGGAGCGCUCACAUUUUUUGGCUGACUCUUGCACUUGAAUUUCAAAAUCCGGCUCGCUCCCGGCCUUUGGACCCUUGGCCCGCUUAGAAGUGGAUUCGAACCACUGACACAAGGAUUUUCAGUCCUUUGCUCUAACCAGCUGAGCUACCUGAACCACUUUCCUAAAAUAUGUUUUAUUCAUCGAAUAGCGCCCUACCUUACCACUUGACUAGUAAAAAGCCCUUGUACUAAAAAAAAGAGAAUAGAUAGGCCUUUUUCGCUUCUUCGCCAAGCUUUCGAGCAGCUCUUUCAACUGCCGCCUAAUCCCCCAACAUGCUCAAGAACCGAGAGCCGUCCAGUCCCUGGACAGCCGGAGGGAGCUUGCUUAUAGAAAGAAGAUAGGCCGAUCAAACAAAAAGAACGCGCAAAGGUCUCUCCGCUCCUAGUCACUAAGUAGUGCUAUUCUGGGGGGCUGGACUCCACCAAGAGGUUCUUUCUCUCACGUCAUUUCGCCCGCCCGUUUCACUUCUGUUCCGGAGGAAAUGGGAUUUGAACCCAUGAUACAAUCUUCUUGUAUGUCGAUUUAGCNCUGUGAGUGUACUGUCAGAAACUUGCCCCUUAGCUAACUGGGUGUCACCCACUUCAGCCCAGCACAGAGGGGAUCUGCACUUCCGGCCAUAGAGGGCUUCAAAUGGGGCAGUCUUGAUGCUCGUGUGAUAACUGUUAUUGUAGGAAAAUUCGACAAGAGGUAAGUGAGUGUCCCAUGCCUUUCCAAAGUCAAUUACACAGGCUCUCAGCAUAUCUUCCAGUGUUUGAAUGGUCCUCUCACUUUGCCCGUCGGUCUGAGGGUGGUAGGCUGUGCUCAUGUCUAGCCUUGUUCCUAGGGAAUGUUGCAACGAUUGCCAGAAUCUUGAGGUGAACCUACUAUCUCUAUCGGAGAUAAUGGAUAUAGGGACACCAUGCAGUCGCACGAUUUCCCUAAUGUAUGUUCUCGUAAGUUUCUCCAUCUUAUCAGUUUCCUUGAUAGGUAGGAAGUGUGCAGACUUGGUCAAUCUAUCGACAAUGACCCAUAUGGUAUCAAGUCCACCCGUUGUCUUGGGCAACUUGGUUAUGAAGUCCAUAGUGAUCCGCUCCCACUUCCAUUCUGGGAUCUCUGGUUGUUGUAGUAAACCAGAGGGCUUCUGGUACUCGACCUUAACCUUUGCGCAAGUAAGGCAUUUACUUAUGAAGGUAACAAUCUCUGCUUUCAUGUUAGGCCACCAGUAUAACUUCUUAAGAUCCAGAUACAUCUUAUCUGAGCCUGGGUGGACAAAAUAUCGAGUGUUGUGCGCCUCAGUCAUGACCAAGUCUCGGAAACCACCGUGUUUCGGGGUCCAGAUCCGGUCCAUGAAGUAUAGGACUCCGCCACCCUUAGCUUCUAAGUUCUUAUCCAUUUCUCUGAGGGAUUCACUCGCCACAUGUUCAGGUUUCAUAGCUUCAAGCUGGGCCGCUUGAAUUUGCUUAGACAAGUGUGAAUGGAUAGUCAUUGUCAACGACUUGACUCUUCGACCAGAAUAUUCCGUCCGACUUAGGGCGUCCGCUACUACGUUGGCCUUACCCGGAUGAUAACGAAUGUCGCAUUCGUAGUCAUUGAGUAGCUCAACUCAUCGUCGUUGGCGCAUGUUGAGCUCCUUCUGAUCGAAUAUGUGCUGUAAACUCUUGUGGUCAGUAAAAAUGGUGCUUUUGGUGCCAUACAAGUAAUGUCUCCAGAUCUUCAGGGCAAACACAAUUUCCCCAGUUCAAGAUCGUGCGUGGCGUAGUUGACUUCGUGUGUCUUCAGCUGUCUCGAGGUGUAGGCGAUAACUUUACCUCGUUGCAUCAGGACACAACCGAGCCCUUGAUUUGACGCAUCACAGUAGACAACGAAAUCUUCUAUCCCUUCGGGAAGGGAUAGUAUUAGUGCGGUGCACAAGGCUCGCUUGAGCGUUUGGAAUGCUUUCUCCUGUUUCUCUUCCCAGUCAAAGGCCAUGCCCUUCUGGGUCAGUGUUGUAAGGGGUUUCACAAUGCGGGAGAAGUUCUGUAUGAAUCUACGGUAGUAGCCAGCUAGACCUAGAAAUUGACGAAUUUUUGUAGGCGUCUUCGGUGCUGACCAGUUCUCAAUGGCCUUAAUUUGGGAUGGGUCCACAUGUAUUCCCUCUUCGCUUACCACAUCUCCUAAGAAUUCGACUCUUCGGAUCCAAAAUUCACAUUUCAAGAACUUCGCAUAGAGCUUCUCCAUUCGUAAAGUUCCUAGAACUUGUCGCGGGUGAUCGCCAUGCUCUUCCUUACUACGAGAGUAGAUUAGUGAUUGUUUUUAGUCAUAAGACAUCCUAUGUGCUCAUACAAACCCUAAUGCUCGAAUCUAGGUUUCUCUAUUGUACAUGCUUUGAAUCCAAGACUAUAAACCCUAAUUCUAGCAUACAAGUAAUCAUAUUAGAUAUUAGAAUAGGUUUAUAAUGUUACCUUGAUUGUUAUGUAGCAAUAACAAUCCCAAUUCCUCCUUGAAUUGACUUUGGAAGGCUUAGAGUCACAAGUGUCACUCCUCUAAUGGUUCACAAACACCAUAAGCAAGAGGAUGAAGAGGAGAGAGGAUGGAGGCUGCCAAAACCAUGUGAAAACCCUAGAAGGUAACUUGUCCACGUUUUUGAGCCUUAAGGAUUCUAUAUAUAGUGAGGCAAUUAGGGUUAUCUAACAAGGAAACCCUAAUUUGGUUGCUUAAGCCCUAAGCAACCCAUGGAGCCCUUUCUUAAAGCCUUGGACGACUUCAUAUGGGCUUCCCCCAUAGAAUUCGUCCACCUUAUAAUAAAAGGCAAUCCAUGGCCCAAAUUGCAAUUAUCUUAUAAUUACAAUUCCAGUCCCUUAAGUUUAAUUAAUCUCUUUUAGUCACAAAACUAAUUACCAAUUAAUUAUUGACUAAUAUUAAUUAAACAAUAUGAUUUCUCCUUUAAUAUAUUAUUCCCAUAAUAUAUUAAUAAAUCAUAUUUAAUCCUUUCUCUCCAUAAUUCAUCCUAUCAAGUUGCUUUGGUGAAGGCAACCCAAAAGGACCAUGCACCAUCGGGUCAAGUACAUACCAAAAUAGUUAUGGACUUAGACACUAAUCCAACAGUCUCCCACUUGGAUAAGUCUAACAACUAUUCUGCGUAUGACUUCGGAUCCCGAUCUGCAAUCGUAGCUUUCCAAAGCCGCUGUCAACUCUGAUCAUAUCAGAUACGCGUGUCCUUAGAUAAGGGAUCAUAUAUUCCUCCAUUCUAGAUAUCAUAUGAGAUAUGAUUUCAAAUCAUUCUCUUUGUACUAUAUCUCGAUUUCCGAUUUAUGACGACUGACUAAUUGAACAAAUCAAAUUAGCCCUAGCCCGGCCGAGCAUUUACGUUUGUCAUCACUAAACCAUCGAGGGGCCCAAAGAUAUCGCUUUUAUCCUACUUUGGAUAAAAGGAACGGAUAAACUUUGAUACAAUGCUUGCUUGCACUCACUCACCGAAUCACACACAACAAUAUGUUUUAUAACACCAAGUUACUAGUGCGUUUACAUAUUAUCAAUGUGCAACCGAUUUGCAAGAUACAACUCACACAUCUCGGUUUCAAGAAUAUAAGAUGUUAUCGUCUCACCAAUCACUCGUGAUACAAUUCAUGGAGUGAUCCAAGUGAGCGUGGGUUUAAUCCAAUGCUCAAAUCACAUUCAUAAGCACUCAUGAACGUUGCAGCAAACAUUUGCUUAUGUCUAAUACCUUUUUAGACAAUCCACACACCAAUUCACGACAGUCUUCAUUCAUAUCUACUUCCAACAUAUGAACGACUGUGGCCCGUUUGAAUAAUUCGAUUAUUCUUAAUAAACUCAAUUAUUCUGGAAGUCAAAACAUGCAAAUGUGAAACACAAGAAUAAUACUAAUCCCAUAUGGCCUCAAACCUUUGAGUAUAAAUAAAACACCUUUUAUUUAUCACCAUAUUGAUUACUCAUUAUUUGUCGUUUCGGGUAAUCAACUUCUUACUUGAAUUCCAACACUUGUCCCAUGCUCCUAGCAUGCACACAAUGUUUACCUAUGGUUCUUACUUUGUGAAAUAGAUCACAUUGAACACAUUUCCAAUCCUUCUCAUUUCACAACUCCAAAUCCGUUUUUCAUAAGUGAAAGAAUAUCAAAUUCUUGCUACUUAUAGAAUAUGCUAGAUUCUAACAUUCUAUGCAACUAUCCUUUCGUAAUGUCACUGCACCAAAGUCACAAAGACUAUUGCCAAUGAUAUUACAAAGUCCUCUAUCGGAGAUUGUUACAAGACAAUUCCAUAGACGUGAUGUCUCUCACUCAAAGUACAUUCUUUGAACAUCCUUUUGCAUAGAAGUUUCUAAUCUAGUCAUAGAUUUCUCAAUAUUCAAUUCCCAAUAUGGACACACUUCCAUAUGUUCCAUAUGACAACUCAUUCUUAAUAGAAUCUUAUCUAUUCGUAAUGAUGUCGAUAUGGUCCAUCCAAUAUGGAAACAUUUCCAUAUUUUCCAAUACUAUACUUCCAACUACUCACAAGCGACCAAUCCUCGUCGAACUUUGGAUUGUCCUUUGAUAGUUGUUUAAUUAUUUUAGUCAAAACCAAUUCUAGUCCCUUUUCCCUCUAAAUGCGCUCGACAUUUGGAAAAUUUUAGAAUGGUCAAACAUUAAAGCAUUUGCAAUCGAUCCUAUACCCGAAGCGUAUGGGACACGACGCAUAAUGUUUUAUUUGCUAUGUUCUCAAAAUUCGAAUUGUGAAGAGGAAUGCCGUAAUCAUAAUCGAAAUUUUAAGAACACACUAUGUACCUUUGACUAAAUUUAUUAACAUUUCUCAACCUAAUCCUUUAGAUUUGAAAUGAAGCAUAAUAUUCUCUCCCUUAAUUAUAGCAAAACAACUUUACAACCCUUACGACUUUGCAAGGUAUAACUCUUGUUUUCUAUAAUUAAUAUUGCCAACUUGCAAUACGUGCCUUAAUAAUCAUACAAUCAUAACAUUUAUGCUCCCACUAUCAUGAUGAUUAUUAUAAAACAUAACACUUAUGCUCCCACUAGCUUCGACAUGUAUUCAUAAACAUCUUAACUUUCAGAAAAACAAUACUUAUUGAAUUUCUUAAGUUCAUGUUUCUAAUACUUAGUGCUUUGAUAAUCUUUUAUCAAGGCUUCUUGAACUUAUACACCUUUGCCUUCGAUAGUUCAUAUGUGUGUCUAAACAAUUAAGACUAAUUGCCAAACCUCACAAUUCAAAUUAUGGAAAGGGAUACCGUAACCAUAAUCGAAUUCGAGAAUGCAAUUUUACAAUCACUAUCUUCUUAAAAUCUUUCUUAGUGAAAGCAUUUCCUCACAAUCAUUUUCAUGAAGGAGGAAAUCUUAUGACACUUAGAUUUAAACGGUGUAUGUGUUCCUAUCCAUGUGAAUUUGUUAAAACCAAAGUUUACGACAAAUUCAAACUCAUAUGGACCGAACUUUCUUAAUCUUGAUUUCUUGCCUUAUGGUAGCACAGCUGCCCACCAUGUCUUCCAAGUAGUUAAGCAGCUCACCCUUUCCUAUCAAUGUACCUUUCAUUGAUUAAGGUGCUUUGCCUUUUAUGCGUUCAAAAUGAGAACUCAUAGAACUCACAUGCAUAAUUAACUCGAUUGGAUUGGCACAGAAACAAAAUAAUGUCAACACGAUAGGUUGUAAACCUCAACUCGUGUGCUAGUGAUGAUCGAUAAGGUUUAUUUGAUUUGUUCUUGAAACCUUUCAAGACCAUUAAGACUCCCACUGACUCCUUGACAUAUAAGAUUCUCUUGUCAAUAAACAUUUCUUGACAAACAAAUAUUCAAGAGUUAGUGUAGCUUUUAUCAAAACACUUCAUAAAUUGGUCCUAGUUGGUCUUUGUCUUAUCCAAGACAUCACAACUUUCCACAUUUGAUGAAUGUUAUAAACCUUCUUAAUACUUUUCACUCAAUGUCACAAUCUUAACUCUAAGACUUGUUUUGGAACGAAGUAUGAUUGACUUCUUGAUUUAACCAUUUCUUCAAUUCUUGAUUCCUCUUCUUAGACAUACAAUUGUACUAAGACUCACUUAGAGGAUCAAUUGAGAUAUGGUUCUUAAUCAUUAAGACCUAUCAUAAAGCAUAAAAGGUACUCUCCCUUCUUCUUAGAAUGGAGAAACUUUUAUCUUUCUGCCUACUUGAUUCUUCUUAUUCGUUCUGCUAUUGAUUUAAACUUUUUCAAUCAAUUCAGAAUUACACUUAAUCUUGUAAGUAUAAUCAUAUUUACUAAACCUUUAGUAAAUCAUGACGAAUAUCUUUGUUACUCUUAUGGUGGACUUGAUCAACACGCAACUUUGUGUACUCGAUCUCCUAGUCCUUCACUUGACACUUUGUCAAUGAAUUAGUCUAAUUUCCAAAUAUGAAAUUUCUCAUUCAUCGUGCAACCAAGUUGCAUGAUUCCAAGUUUCUGUCCAAUUGAAACUUGGGCGAUGAGAAACUCUCCCUAUUUGGUAAAUUCUCGACUUUCCAUAAAUAACAUAAUAAGAACCAAAUCCAUUAUUGCUAAUAAUAGAAACAUUCAAACAUCAAUUUUUCAUAUACGCCAUUGCAAGGAUAAAUAAAUAAUAUAAAAUCAAAAUUUAUUUUAUUGCGGAAAAAAUUUGUCCUUACAAUGCAAUUCAUUGAAAAACUAUGCUAAUACAUCUUUCUUAGCAAUCUAAUUCUAACUCUAAGUAGUAGCUCAAGAAUCUAAUCUUCGAGAAAUGCGAUCGAAAUCCAUUCCUUCACGGUUAGAUUCUGCUCACUUCUUCCCUUAAGCUUCCUUUCUUUUCUUCGAUCCUACAAAACAUCAAUUGUAAUCUUAUCACAUUAUGUAUUAAGAAUCUAGAAUAGAAGCUUAAAAGAGUUAGUUAAUGGAUUUUACCUAUAUUAGAGCCAUACGUUUCGACUCUCCCAUCUCUUAGAUCUCUUAGGUAAAUGGGGCAGCUUCGUCUCCAAUGCCCUUUCUCUUGGCAAUAAAAGCAAAUUGACUCUUUUGGAACAUGACAUGGAACUACUUCAGACAUUGCCUUUCUCUUAUGAUCAAACUUUUCGAUCAUAGCAUGUCUUUCGUUGCCAUUGUCUAUAUCCAUAGAGGUCUUGAAGGCAGAUUCACCAAUCAACUUUGCUUUUCUAUUGCGCCAAACCAUUGCUGAUUCAGCAGCAAUAAGCAUAUAGGUGAGAUCUAUAAGGGUCACGUCGCGGUUCAUCAUAUAGUACUCUCUUACGAACUCACUAUAUGAGUUAGGAAGUGACUGAAGAACCCAAUCAACAGCCAUUUCCUCACAGACAACGGAUCCCAACAUUCUUAACCUAUCAAUGUGUGACUUCAUCCCUAGGACGUGUGCACACACCGACUUUCCUUCUUUAUGUUUACUUGCCAAAAGGGCUUGAGUGAUCUUGAACUUUUCAAGCCUUUGAACUUGUGGGUUAGGGAGAAUAAUUGGAGGAGGAGGAGGAAGUGAAGCAUGAUUUCUUGUUCCUCGAUCGAAUCGUGGAAUAUCAUCUUCAUGUGGAAUGCUUGUUCCACGGGAUUUGGGAAGACCAUAGUUGUCGAACUUUGACAUCUACAAAACGGGAGAAAACGAAUUCAAGUUAGUUGAUUGAUUGAGUCCUUAGUAAAUCACCCAAAUGAGAUACUAAGGCUAGGACCCAACACAAUAUUCUACAACUCGGGAGAGGGAUGCCGUAACCCUAAUUGCAGAAUAUUUGAAGGUAAGUGAAUGACGAUUCACUAAUUUCCACCAUGAAAAACGAAAAAGAAAUUUAAGUUUUAAAUCUAUGAAAACUCCUAGAUCCUUUGAGAUUCAUUGAACUUUCAAUGGCAUGUUUAAAUCUCGAUAUGCCCCUCUUGUUUGUGACUGGGAUGCCGAGGAUCACAAAGCGGGUGUGAAUAACCAUGCAAACUUACAUGGUGCCCUCACAUGUUACAGUCACCUAUUCGAUGUGCCGGUAAACCACACACGCUCCACCGAACUAUGACAAACAUUGAGUCACCCUUUGCUACCUUUGCUUAGAACCAUUUAGUGUGCCGGUAAACCACACACGCUCCACUAACGUCUUCGCAAGGGCACAAAGUGUAAUUUCAUGGAAUUGCAUCAAUUCACUUUUGCCUAAGUAACUAAGAUUGGGAAUUUUAUUAAAACAUUUAGUUACUUUAAUAAUUCAUUAUACUUAUAAUGGAAGGUUUCGUCCUAUCCUACCCGUUCGGCUAACGACCCUCCACUAGUCAAGAGUGCGGUGGGUAAGAGUGGAUACCCAUUCAAUCGCCAUUUUAUAGGCAAUUUCCUUAAACACCCCUUAUAGACCAGCUUCGUGAAUGAGGCCUACUAACGGUAAGACUGACUUUUACUCAUACAUAUAUAUAAUGUUAGACUUUUAAUGUUAUAUAUAGUAUAGGGUGUAUUUUAUACUUUCAAAAUACUAGGUGGUCUAAUUUAACAAUUAUACUUUUAAUUCAAUUAAAUUGUAAACCUAAACUUUUAUGGAUUUAUUAAACCUCUUUUAAUUAUACACCUUAAUUAAUUAAUAAAACCAUAAGGGUGUGAUUUGAACUUUUUCAAAACUAUACUAGAGUUUUAGAAUUUAACAUUCCUAAUUAAACUUUUAAUCAACUUUUAAAUUCCAAAACUUGAGGGCAAGUUUUGAAACAUUUCAACACAUUAGGGUUUAGAAUUUAAAUAUACAUCAAAAUUAAACUAUUUAAUCAAAAUUUAAAUUCCAAAACUUGAGGGCAAGUUUUGAAACCUUUUUCAAAACAUUAGGGUUUUAACUAUUUAAAUUUCAAAACAACAAAACUUUUGGGUUCAAAUUUAAAAUAUAAAACCUAAAGGGAUUAAUUUGAAACUAUUCCAAACUUUGUCAAGAAUAUUCUAGAUCACAUAAUUCAAAUAAGGCAAUUAACUAUAAUUGGUGGUUAUCUAAUUAGAUCUAGUUCAAAUUCUUGCAAGAUAAUGAUCAAAUAAUUUCCAUAACUUAACAUAUAUCAAAUAAGGUAACAAUUAUCUAAUUAGAUGACCAAAAUCUUUUAUUUUGACAAGGAUAAUCAUAAGGGAUUAACAAAAUUCGAAUUUUAUUAAGUUUAAACAAUUAUGGCAAUUAUCCUAAGUCAUAAUAGGUAAAAAUCCCGAAAAUCCGUCUAUCUGACGAGUUGACUCGUCGAGUCAGCCUUGGACUCGUCGAGUCUGCAUGGACUCGGCGAGUUCAGCCAUGGACUCGGCGAGUCCAGCCUCCAGAAACCCAAAAAACGAAUUUUCCAGAUAUACAAUGCAUCAAUACAAUUGAAACCAAGCUAGGCUCUGAUACCACUGAUGGGUUUUGGUCAUAAGACAUCCUAUGUGCUCAUACAAACCCUAAUGCUUGGAUCUAGGUUUCUCUAUUGUACAUGCUUUGAAUCCAAGACUAUAAACCCUAAUUCUAGCAUACAAGUAAUCAUAUUAGAUAUUAGAAUAGGUUUAUAAUGUUACCUUGAUUGUUAUGUAGCAAUAACAAUCCCAAUUCCUCCUUGAAUUGACUUUGGAAGGCUUAGAGUCACAAGUGUCACUCCUCUAAUGGUUCACAAACACCAUAAGCAAGAGGAUGAAGAGGAGAGAGGAUGGAGGCUGCCCAAAACGUGUUCUAACCCUAGAAAAGAAGUUCCCCACGUUUUUGAGCCUUAAGGGUUCUAUAUAUAGUGAGGCUAUUAGGGUUAUCUAACAAGGAAACCCUAAUUUGGUUGCUUAAGCCCUAAGCAACCCAUGGAGCCCUUUCUUAAAGCCUUGGACGACUUCAUAUGGGCUUCCCCCAUAGAAUUCGUCCACCUUAUAAUAAAAGGCAAUCCAUGGCCCAAAUUGAAAUUAUCUUAUAAUUACAAUUCCAGUCCCUUAAGUUUAAUUAAUCUCUUUUAGUCACAAAACUAAUUACUAAUUAAUUCUUGACUAAUAUUAAUUAAACAAUAUGAUUUCUCCUUUAAUAUAUUAUUCCCAUAAUAUAUUAAUAAAUCAUAUUUAAUCCUUUCUCUCCAUAAUUCAUCCUAUCAAGUUGCUUUGGUGAAGGCAACCCAAAAGGACCAUGCACCAUUGGGUCAAGUACAUACCAAAAUAGUUAUGGACUUAGACACUAAUCUAACAAUUAGGAUGUCGUCAAUAAAGAAAAUGACGAACUGAUCUAAGUAAGGUCGGCAUACUCUAUUCAUCAAAUCCAUGAAGACUGCGGGCGCAUUGGUUAAUCCGAAUGGCAUCACCACGAAUUCGUAGUGUUCGUAACGAGUCUGGAAGGCUGUCUUCAGAACAUCCUCCUCUAGCACUCGUAACUGGUGAUAUCCGGAUCUCAGAUCAAUUUUGGAAAAAUAAUUUGCCCCUUGCAGUUGGUCAAAUAAAUCGUCGAUGCGAGGCAGAGGGUAACGAUUUUUGACCGUCAGUUUGUUGAGUUCCCUGUAGUCGAUACACAUACGGAAUGAUCCGUCUUUCUUCUUAACAAACAAGACCGGUGCUCCCUAAGGUGAGAAACUUGGUCUUAUAAAGCCUUUGCUGAGAAGUUCGUUAAGUUGACCAGAUAAUUCCUGCAUCUCAGCUGGUGCUAAUCGGUAUGGCGACUUAGCUACUGUGGUGGCUCUUGGAAUUAAGUCGAUUCUGAACUCGACCUGUCGUUGCGGAGGUAAUCCUGGUAGCUCUUCUGGAAAGAUGUCGGGAAAGUCGCUGACUACUGGAAUGUCUUUUAUUUCUUUCGUUUCUAGGCUCGUAUCGAGGACGUGAGCAAGGAAUGCACGGUAUUCUUUACAUAGAUAUUUCUGUGCUUGAAUACUGGAGACAAUACGAAGACUUGUACCAGGUUUGUCGCCGUAGACUAUAAUAGUUUCAUUAGACGGGAGGUUUAGACGGAUUGCUUUCUCGAAGCACAUGAUGUCGGCACAAUGAAGACUUAACCAAUCCAUGCCGAUGAUAACGUCAAAGCUUUUAAUUGAAACCGACAUGAGGUCGAUUGGAAAUGAAUGAUUAUCUAGAGUUAGGUUGCAUCCUAAGUAUAUGCUCCUGGUGCUUUUAGUUUUCCCAUUAGCCAUUUCUACCGUGAAUUGUUCUUUAGGUGCGUGUGGUUGAUGUUUAAGUAUGUGAGCAAAUUUAUGGUUCACGAAGCUUCGCUCCGCUCCACUAUUGAACAAAAUGCAUGCAUAGGAGUUAUCGAGAAGGAACGUACCAGUCACCAUCGUCGGGUCAGCAACCGCUUCCCCAUGGCUUAUUUCCAGUACCCUCCCCGAUCCACCUGCAUUCUUUGCUUUGGGGCAGUCCCUCUUGUAGUGGCCUGCUUCACCACAUCCAUAGCAGGUUGGGCUCGCGCCUGAGCCAGGGGCUUGAGUGAUCGGUCUUGCCGGAGACCUACAAAAAUGGACAGUGUGUCCUUUCUUGUCGCAGUUAGAACACUGCAUUUCACAGCAGGGGCCGUUGUGGUGGAAGUUGCAUUUGUUGCACUUAGGCAAACUUCCAGCAUAUUGCUUCACCGGAGCAGUAGCAGCAGUAGGGGUUAUCGCAGCAUGUACAACCACAAUUUGCUGCUUUUUGGCAGCUCGCUGCUUCUUCUUGUCAUCCCAGAACUUCUGCUUAGAGUCAGCGGGUUGGGAGGGUUCUGAGGCGGCUUGGGUUGUUGUCGCUAUUGGGGAUUUGAUUCCAUGGUCAAUGAGUCGUUGUGCCAGCCGCUUGGCACUGUCGAAAGUAGCGGGGUUUGAUGAUAGAACAUUUCCUUGAUACGGAGGCACCAGUCCCCAGAUGUACCUUUCGAUCUUUUUCCCUUCAGUGGGAACCAUAUUGGGGCAGAGAGUCACUAGUUCAAUUAACCUGGCGGUAUAAGCGACUAUGUUGGAGCCCUUCAUGGUUAGGCCCCACAGCUCUUGCUCCAAUUUCUGGAUUUCUCCCCUCAGGCAAUACUCCUCAAUCAUGAGGUCUUUCAUUGUUUCUCAGCCAAUGCCGUUGGCUACAACGAGUGUUUGGGAUUUAACGUGGCUGUUCCACCACGUCAGGGCUUUUCCUUCAAAGGUGCAGGCGACAUAUUUAACCUUGCUCGCCGCAGGGCAUAAACAAAUUUCGAAGACCGGUUCAGUCUUCUCUAACCAUUGCGAGAGGGCAAUGACUCCCUCGGUUCCAUAAAAGGACUUCAGCUUAUAGUUGGUGAAAUCCUUGUAGGAGAAAUCUCUCGUGCGCACAUGGAUCUCAGCAUGAGUAGAUUCAACAGGGGUUCCACCUUGGCUGUUGUUAGUUGAGUGAUAUUGAGCCAUGACAGUUGCCACUGCCGCAGCUACUGCAGCAUUGAUGACCGGAGGAGGAGGUGGUGGAGGUGCGGGGUUACGUCUUGUUGACUUACGUGGAGGCAUCUUUCAGCUAUAAGUUUAUAAAUACAAACACAAUGGUAAGAAUCAAUUGUAAGCAAGUUGAGAGUGACACAUGGACUAAAUAGCCAUAGUCCAACAGUUGAAUGAGUGUACGAAUUUAAGUCACAAUAGGGAAAACUAGUAGGAAAACGCAAGUGUAAAAAUUUUCUCACAGAUUAGUUAGCUGUCAAUAAUACUGGUAUUAUUGAUGUAAUGGGUUCAGGGGAAAAUUAACCUAAUAGUAGGUCUUACAUCAUACCAUACGGAAAAGUUUGACAAUUAUUAGAUUCCUAGUUAGCGUACUGAGAGUUAAUAUUUUACANACUGAGAGUUAGGAAUAUUUUACAGACAAGCGUUACUAAAAGCCCAGAUACUAAAGGCUAUUCCUUAAUCAAAAGACAAAGAUGUACUAGACAUCUUCUAAUGACGACGGGAAUUCCUAGGGCGAAUCCUCAUAUCUUCCAAUUGACAAACCACUUCUCGGAGGUGUCGUUCGUGAGCUCUUCGGCGAACUCGAAGUUCUACGACUUCGGUGGUCAAUUGAUGUCGCAGUGUGUCAUUGGUUCUCCUCAUCCCUUUGAGUGCUUCUUCCAGAUGUCGAAUGCGGACGGUAUUAACGCCUGAGUUAACAUCAAUUUCCAUGACUCGGUNGAUGGCUGCUCGGCCUUGUUCGACGUUUCGAGCAAUUCUACGGACCAUGACGGGCAGAGCUCUAUCCGCAGAACCACCUUCGCUAACGUUGUAAAAGCUUCGGUCCCCAAAGUAGGGUAAGGGUUGACCCUGUUCGUCACUCCAGCGAUUCAAGUUGUUUACCCACAAGGGAGUGGGACCUGGAAAUGCUGGUCGGGGACCGUUGUUUGGGGCUUGACCUACGGGAGGUAGAUUGUUGACUUCGGGCUCAGAGUCAGAUCCAUCCGAGAAACCUUUUGCUUGAUGAUCAUCCAAUGGGAUUUGGUGCUCAUCAUCGGACUCUGCGUCAAGCCAUCCUGCGUUGCCUUUGUUUGGAAAGUAUGGGUCGCCAUGAUGAAAUCCAGCCAUGAUAUCUACGCGAGAAAGGGGAUAUAAGAAUCUUAUAAAAUUUGAUGUACUACUAAGAUAAUUAUAAGAUGAUCUAUAUCAAUUAUGUCAAUACUUGUGUAGUGCAUACCAAUUAUAUGAAAAUAGGGUAGGAUAGGCCUUCGAAUAAGUAGCCCUAACUCCAAAACCACAACCAAACAAGGAACAGGAGAUGCAGCAAAGGUUACAGAUUCUUAGACUAUAACACCUAAUUUCAUACAACCUUAAAGUAUCCACUUAACGACUAUUGACCUAUUUGAUAAUGACCCUUUUAGUUCUCAGAUAAUUGAUUAAAGUAACACAAAAUACUCCUAUAGUAUUUUAAACCUAUGCUCUAUUCUAAUGAUCGUAUUGUAGUAGUGUUGGUAAGUUUUUUUAAACUUGUUACCAUAUCACAACUAUUCUAGGGCAUAUGCUAAUCACUCCUUGGACCAGCAUAGUUGAUCAGGCUAUGCCAUUCCCAGGACUGACCAUACAUCCCCAAGAUCACUUGUGAUAUUUAACAAUCGCAAUACUUUUGUUCUUGUCGUUGUGACACCAAUUUUAGUAUGAAUGCAAACUUGUAUACUUUAUUAAAUAUUUUAGUAUUUAAAGUAUAGACUCUUGGUCAGAGUGCUUUAAUCCCUAAUGGGUUUAUAGUUUAGUAUAUCUUUUAUGGGUUGAUAUACUUGAUUCACUAUAAACAAUGCUCUGAUACCAAUCUGUCACACCCCAAAACCAAGAACGGCGGAAACGUUCUGGGGCGGAGGACGUCAUGUAAAGUAUCACAACACAGUAAAUGUAAAUAAGCAAACAACAUCAUCCAUUGCAUUAAAUAUAUAAUUUUAAUACAAGUGUGUUCUGUACAGUUAUAGACACCAAAAAUAAUGUAAAUCAAAAUAAUAAGAUGAGUCUUGGAUGCGCUCCAUCUUCUCAAAAGCUGGCCUCGGUACCUGUCUACUGAUGACCUGAGAAUACAAGUUAUUUUGAAAGAGUUUAUCAGCAUUAAGCUGGUGAGUUCAUAAGUAUUUUAGUGUCGGUGUUUGUUAUCAAAACGUUUGAACAUGUCUCAAGUGUAAGUUUGUAAAAUGUAUGUAAAUGUUUGUAAGUGUUUGUAAAAGUUUGAAUCUCUCAGAAAAACCUAUAUUUUCUAUUAAAGUAGCCUUCUACCAAGGCUUAACUGUUUUGUAUGUUCGUUUGUUGUAAAAGUGUGUAAUUUCCCAAGUGUAACUAUCAUUAACAAAAUAUAGUUUGUACAUUAAUGUUUAAGUGAAAUAAUCACUAAAUAUAUGUAAUGGGUAAAUUAUUGUAGUACUGUAGUGUUGUAUUAUAGGAACUACUGCUGUACUAACUACCUUAAACCGGAUUUAUAUUAAGGUAUCAUGUGAUUAAUUGUACCAUACUAUCGACUGAGUAACAACGACAAAUGUAGGUCGUAAAAAGGAAUGACGUUUGGCACCCGCAGACCUGCAGGUCCGGCUGUAGCUAGCAGCAAGGUGUAGGAUAGUCAAUCCAGUAUAGAUCUAUACGCAAACUCACGCUCUCCCUCCAAGAGACUCUGGUUACAACUCGGGCCAUGACAUUUAAGGCAUGCUUCGAUACAGUGGAUCACAUUUAUGUAAGUGUAUGUAUGUAUAUGUAAUGUAUUGUUCCUGUUCUAGUAUCGUUGUAUAUGUUCUCUUUCUAGUAUAGUUGUAUAUGUUCUCUUUCUAGUAUAGUUGUAUAUGUUCUCAUAGUAAUGUAAUGUAUAUGUUCUCAUAGUAAUAAGUAUUGACUCAUGAAUGAACUGACUCAUUGAUCUAGUAAUAGUAUAAGUGUAAUCCUGUGUUACCCCGAUGGUAACUUACUAAUGAUGUAACUGAUACGCAUGAAUAUGGAAGUACUUUUAUGUCUAUAUAUGCACAUAUGAUAUAUAAUUAAUAUUGAAACGACCCUCGGAUGACUACCCGACAUCCCACCAGACCACAUCUAAAUCGAGAAAAAGGAAAUAGGGCGGACGGCCUUCCUAAGCCUUUUAAACAUUUCUUAUAUAUAUGUACAUAUAUGGACAUGCAAAUUAUAAGAAGUAUAUUAAAGUUUAAAUAAAAGUAUUUGAUAAGUAAAAGAGUUUGUAAAACAUUUUGAAGUAAAACGGUUUGAUAAACAGUUUGGACAGUGAUAAAAUCAUUGGUUUUAUAGUUAUUAAUCACAUGUGAUUGAUGUAAUAACUAUACCUAUUCAACUUGUAUUCCCCCCCAUAAAAGCAUUUAAAACAUUUUAAAGUAUUUCAAAGGUUAAUUAAAGGGGUAUGAACUCACCUGUAGUGAGUGGUUCUGAUGACAAUGUUGGAUUAGUUGCUAGGCGUCAAGUGGUGACUUGAGUACACACGCGAAUCCUAUUUAGCAUAUAUUGGCACAUAUAUGGAUAUAAUUAGUGUUAUGAACAACUAAUUGAUGAUUUUGGGACCACCUUAGGGACUAGUAAACACUUAUAAUGAAGUGUUAUAAUCAUAUAUGAUUGUAUGAGGGUUUAUAAGGCUAUACAAGAGGGUGUAUGGCCAAAAUACACACUAUAUGUGUGUGUGCGGCCAUGAGGAUUUCGUGUUCUAUGCUUGAAGAAGUGAAGGAAGUGUUCAAAAAUGAUUUAAGUGUGGUAUACAUAGGUGGAGUGCUGUUGGGAAGGGUGUGAGGCCGCAAACAUGAGUGUGUGGCGGGACACUCCAUGUGUUGGAGUGUUUGGCCCGGUUUUG